rnacentral:lncRNA from 1 species
CACAGCUGUGUGCAAUGCUCUGAGCACUGUCAGCUGCAGCCGACGAGGGGAAGAUGUGAUGGAGCGGAGUGUCGCAAGGGGCAGGGGCACAGCUGGGGCUGAUGACGGGGAGCAAAGGUGCUCAUCCCAGGGGCAGGCGGUGGGGCCGCUGCCCGGCGCUUCCCGCUUAGCCCUGGAUCCGCUCCAGCGCGCGUGAGCAGCACGAGCCCGUGGGGAGCGCCGGGAGGCGCCGCUCGGAGGGGCUUUCCAGCCACAUCCACAUCUGAACCUCACGGCGAGGCGAAGGCGUUGGGGAGAGGCCGAGAUGGAGAUCUGCUCACAUCCCAGAGCGCUCAGAGCGAUGACUCAAAGGAUUCCUGGCGUUACUGCACGGCGAGGUGCAGCGCGCUGCCACCGCCGCCGUCAGCACAACUGCGCUCCCUCGGACAGCUGCGAGUGCUCGCAGGUUUAUAGGGCUUAUUAGGCAAUUUCCUAUUAAAAACGUUUAUGUGAACACAUAAA